rnacentral:lncRNA from 1 species
GCAGAUUUGUGAACACGCAUGUGCACAGCAGCGUUAUUCGUGACAGCCGAAGGGGGAAGCCACCCUCUCCCCAUCACAGAUGGGUAGAGAAAGAAAAUGCGGUCCAUCCACUCAAUGGAACAUUACUUGCCUUACAAAGGAAGGAAAUUCUGACACGUGUUACAGCAUGGGUGGACCUUGAAGCCAGUCACAAAAGGACAAACAUUCCAUGAUGUCACUCAUGUACAGUGAAUGAUGGCACUGUCCCUUGCCAAAGACUGUUCCAGCCACUAGAAACCAGGAACCCAACCAGAUGCACUAAAGCCCCUGCCCCGGGGGAGCCUGCAGUCCAACAGCAACCACCAAAGGAGCAAGUUAAGGGUGGCAAGGACUGAGCAGGAGCAUGGGGCACUCAGAGGAUGGAUGCAUGAAGAGGGGUCCAAGGAGAAGCCUGAGAAGGAGCAGCCAAGGAGCUGAAGCACAAGAGAAAGAGGAUAGUCCAGCUGUCAAGGAUGAGAACUGACCACUAGACCCGGCCACACUGAGAGCCCUGACCAUGACAAGUAAGGAUUAGGUGAAGAAAUGGGACAGGGGCUGGGUGUUCUAAUUCUUGGACUUUUUUUUCUUUUUGGUACCAGGCAUUGAACUCAGGACCUUGUGCUUUCGAGGCAGGCAGUGGCACCACUGAGCUAAAUCCCCAGUCCUGGGUGUUCUAAUUCUGUCCCCCUUGUGUCCUUGGGAACAAGGACUCUUGGCAUGGAAGAGAUGUGGUUGCUAUCACUUAAAUGUCCCUUGAAGGUUCACACAUUCACUCCCUCAUUCCCAGGGAGGUCAUGUGGGGAGGUGAUGUGGACCUCUAAGAGGUGGUUCUUAUGUCAGUUGAGGACAGGCCCUCUGAAGGGAUUAUGGUAUUUCUCAUGGGACCCUGGUUAGGUCUCAUGAGAGGACUAUUAUAGUCAAGCUAGGUGUGGUGGUGCACACCUGUAAUCCCAGCACUCUGGGAGGCUAAGGCAGAAUGAUAGCAAGUUCAUGUCCAGCCUGAACAACUCAGUGAAGUAGUCGGGGAUGUAGCUCAAUGAGAAGGUCCUAGGUUCAAUACCCAGUCUCCCUCCCUCUCUCCCCCCCCCACACACACAUACACUGUGAUCAAUUGCUUCAGCACACACUCUUGCCAUUGCAAUCC